rfam:Bacillus enclensis strain SGD-1123 genomic scaffold Scaffold2, whole genome shotgun sequence.
GUGAAGUUGAUCACAAGCAAACAUAUACCCCUUUGUUUGACCGUGAAAAAUUUCUCCCAUCCCCUUUGUUCGUAUAGAAAACCCGAUGUUGGAAACAACAUCGGGUUUUC